GAGGGCUUAACUGUCUCCUGUAGCCAAUCAAUGAAAUUGAUCUCACAGUACAAAUGCUGUGAUACAACUAUAAGACGAGAAGACCCUGUGGAGCUUUAAACCUUCCACAUUAACUAAUUACCCUCAACUACUAUUAGUAUAACGUGAGUUUUAAGUUGGGGCGACUAUGGAGUAAAAAUAAACCUCCAAGUAAUACGAUUAAACCUCGUUACACACGGCUAACAAGCCUAGUCAAAACACACGACCCAGUCAAACUGACUAUCGAACCAAGUUACCCCAGGGAUAACAGCGCCAUCCCCUUAAAGAGUCCACAUCG
rnacentral:rRNA from 1 species